rnacentral:lncRNA from 1 species
GGGUCGGAGGUCGGCCAACCUCCGAACGUUGAUCGUCGACACGAUCAUUCCGCAGAGUAUGAUGGUCGAGUAGCAUCCGACGUAUUUGGAUAGGAUAACGAUAGCAAAUCGAAUAUCCAUUGUCCGGCUCCUGGGUCGAGUGUGCACGUCGGGACGUAUGAUAAACGGUGGUAAGCCAAAUAUCCUUCGAUCGGUCGUGAUCAGGUCGGUAUGUCGCAAGUCG